rnacentral:rRNA from 1 species
UACGUAGGGUGCAAGCGUUAAUCGGAAUUACUGGGCGUAAAGCGUGCGCAGGCGGUUUUGUAAGCCAGAUGUGAAAGCCCCGGGCUCAACCUGGGAACUGCCUUUGUGACUGCAUAGCUAGAGUACGGUAGAGGGGAUGGAAUUCCGCGUGUAGCAGUGAAAUGCGUAGAUAUGCGGAGGAACACCGAUGGCGAAGGCAGUCCCUGGGCCUGUACUGACGCUCAUGCACGAAGCGUGGGAGCAACAGG